GAUGAACGCUGGCGGCGUGCUUAACACAUGCAAGUCGAACGGAAAGGCCCAAGCUUGCUUGGGUACUCGAGUGGCGAACGGGUGAGUAACACGUGGGUGAUCUGCCCUGCACUUCGGGAUAAGCCUGGGAAACUGGGUCUAAUACCGGAUAGGACCACAUUUUGGAUGGUGUGGUGGAAAGUUUUUCGGUGUGGGAUGAGCUCGCGGCCUAUCAGCUUGUUGGUGGGGUAAUGGCCUGCCAAGGCGUCGACGGGUAGCCGGCCUGGGAGGGUGUACGGCCACAUUGGGACUGAGAUACGGCCCAGACUCCUACGGGAGGCAGCAGUGGGGAAUAUUGCACAAUGGGCGCAAGCCUGAUGCAGCGACGCCGCGUGGGGGAUGACGGCCUUCGGGUUGUAAACUCCUUUCGCUAGGGACGAAGCGUUAUGUGACGGUACCUGGAGAAGAAGCACCGGCUAACUACGUG
rnacentral:rRNA from 1 species